CAAGACUGUACAGCAUAAAAAUCAAAUAAAGUAAAUAACAAUUGUGGACCCAAAGGCUUGGAUAAGAUAUCCAAGUAAAAGGAAGCCCAAAAAGUAAAAGGAAUAAAUUCAAUAACCGGCCCAUGUGUGUAUGAGCCCAAUGUCAGACUUAAGAGUUAAGACUAUAACCAGAUAGGGCAGGAAGAACUCGAAGAAAGCAGAUGAAGUUUCAAGGGACCAGACGAACUGAACCAGAAGACCCGAAUCUUGUCACCGUCUGCAUUCAUCUCUCUCAUAUCUUGCUCCAAGGGAAAAUACGCUGCCGUUCUUGCAAUACCCACUGUCUUGCUUCAAGGGAAAAUACGUUGAUGGAGCAGAGAAAAGGUGGCUCUCACGGGGAACAAAAACGUGCUUUCUGCUUUAGUAUGUGAUUUUUGUGUGCUCUUGAACAUUUUUUUGGAUAUGAGAAGAAGAAACGAGAUUGAAAUUGUCACCAUAAUAAGUAAUACUAGAUACUAUUGGCUUUCACUUGGACAUAUAUCCUCUUUUAACAUUAUGCAGAUCUUGACUUUGCAUUUCAUGUUUGUCAUGUGCCUGUGACUUUCAACUGGCAAUGCUAAUUUGGUGCUCCAUGGGACUUGAUUUUGCAACUUAGUUUUACUAAGAAACUCUGUUUAGGCCAUUUGAAGUGAUGUGAAGGGAUAAUAUUAAUCAUAAACAAGACAAGAUAAGAAGGGGCGAUAAUGACUUUGCUAAGUAACUUCUGCUGCAGCACUUCUUUGCACGCUGGUGGCAGCAUUAUGUGCAAAGCAUAGACUAAGAUGAUUAUCUUUUUGGCAAGGACAUGGAAUUGAGCUACUAGAUCCAAGUUGAAAUUGGAGGGGAUAAAAAGGGAAGUAAACUAGAAGGGGGAAAAAAGCUGCCCAAUGAUUUAGGUUAAAAUAUUUCCUUGAUUAAUCAGAUGAGCUCUUAAGACUGAUUACAUUAUACCCUCUUUUUUUUUUUCACUUUUGCAUCACAUCAGGCAAAAAUUGCGUCUUGCUGUAUAAAUUACUAGUAUUCUUGUGACCUUUGCCUCAAAGACCAAAACCCAAUAUUAAUGGCCUGUCAAGGCAACACAAGACAGCAUUUUCGUUCUACUGAUUACUGACUAAAUCUUGCAUUGCUGGUUGGGCGGGUUUAUACUUGUGUUUGUUUUUCUAUGGUCUGUAUAUUAAACCCUUGUUUUUGUUUUCCUAUGGUCUAUAUAUUCUGAUCAAGAUUGAUCAGGAGCGCAAUUGUAAUCCCUGAAUUUUGAUCAUGUUGUGAUUCUGAAAAUUCUUCAAUUAAAAUGAGCUCAGGUAACUGUAGCUCUGGAUA